AGAAUCAACGCUGGCGGCGUGCCUAACACAUGCAAGUCGAACGAGAAAGGGUAGCAAUACCUGAGUAAAGUGGCGCACGGGUGAGUAACACGUGACUAACCUACCUUUGAGUGGGGGAUAACCUAGGGAAACCUGGGCUAAUACCGCAUAAUACCUAUGGGUCAAGGCGAGCAAUCGCGCUUAAAGAGGGGGUCGCGGCAGAUUAGUUAGUUGGUAGGGUAAUGGCCUACCAAGACGAUAAUCUGUAUCCGGCCUGAGAGGGCGCACGGACACACUGGAACUGAAACACGGUCCAGACUCCUACGGGAGGCAGCAGUGGGGAAUUUUGCGCAAUGGGGGAAACCCUGACGCAGCAACGCCGCGUGGAGGAUGAAAUAUCUUGGUAUGUAAACUCCUUUCGAUGGGGACGAUAAUGACGGUACCCAUAGAAGAAGCCCGGCUAACUUCGUGCCAGCAGCCGC
rnacentral:rRNA from 1 species